AUACGUAGGGUGAGAGCGUUGUCCGGACUUACUGGGCGUAAAGAGCUCGUAGGUGGUUUGACGCGUCGUCUGUGAAAUUCCGGGGCUUAACUCCGGGCGUGCAGGCGAUACGGGCAUAACUUGAGUACUGUAGGGGAGACUGGAAUUCCUGGUGUAGCGGUGAAAUGCGCAGAUAUCAGGAGGAACACCGGUGGCGAAGGCGGGUCUGUGGGCAGUAACUGACGCUGAGGAGCGAAAGCAUGGGUAGCGAACAGGAUUAGAUGCCCUGGUAGUCCAGGCCGUAAACGGUGGGCGCUAGGUGUAGGGGUCUUCCACGACUUCUGUGCCGUAGCUAACGCAUUAAGCGCCCCGCCUGGGGAGUACGGCCGCAAGGCUAAAACUCAAAGGAAUUGGCGGGG
rnacentral:rRNA from 1 species